rnacentral:rRNA from 1 species
UAGGGAAUCUUCGGCAAUGGGGGGAACCCUGACCGAGCAACGCCGCGUGAGUGAAGAAGGUUUUCGGAUCGUAAAGCUCUGUUGUUAAGGAAGAACGAGUGUGAGAAUGGAAAGUUCAUGCUGUGACGGUACUUAACCAGAAAGGGACGGCUAACUACGUGCCAGCAGCCGCGGUAAUACGUAGGUCCCGAGCGUUGUCCGGAUUUAUUGGGCGUAAAGCGAGCGCAGGCGGUUAGAAAAGUCUGAAGUGAAAGGCAGUGGCUCAACCAUUGUAGGCUUUGGAAACUGUUUAACUUGAGUGCAGAAGGGGAGGGUGGAAUUCCAGGUGUAGCGGUGAAAUGCGUAGAUAUAUGGAGGAACACCGGUGGCGAAAGCGGCUCUCUGGUCUGUAACUGACGCUGAGGCUCGAAAGCGUGGGGAGCGAACAGG